CCCUUAGAUGUCCGGGGCUGCACGCGCGCUACACUGAAGGAAUCAGCGUGCUAAAACCAUUGUCGAAAGGCAUUGGUAAACCCAUUAAAAUCCUACGUGAUUGGGAUCGGGAAUUGCAAUUAUUUCCCUCGAACGAGGAAUUCCCAGUAAGUGUGGGUCAUAAGCUCGCGUUGAUUACGUCCCUGCCCUUUGUACACACCGCCCGUCGCUGCCCGGGACUGAGCCGUUUCGAGAAAAGCGGGGACUGCUGCUGUCGGGGCUUUCGGGCCUUGGCUUCGGUGGAAACCGCUUUAAUCGCAGUGGCUUGAACCGGGCAAAAGUCGUANCA
rnacentral:rRNA from 1 species